rnacentral:rRNA from 1 species
GAUGAACGCUGGCGGCGUGCCUAAUACAUGCCAGUCGAGCGAACAGACGAGGAGCUUGCUCCUCUGACGUUAGCGGCGGACGGGUGAGUAACACGUGGAUAACCUACCUAUAAGACUGGGAUAACUUCGGGAAACCGGAGCUAAUACCGGAUAAUAUAUUGAACCGCAUGGUUCAAUAGUGAAAGCCGGUUUUGCUGUCACUUAUAGAUGGAUCCGCGCCGCAUUAGCUAGUUGGUAAGGUAACGGCUUACCAAGGCGACGAUGCGUAGCCGACCUGAGAGGGUGAUCGGCCACACUGGAACUGAGACACGGUCCAGACUCCUACGGGAGGCAGCAGUAGGGAAUCUUCCGCAAUGGGCGAAAGCCUGACGGAGCAACGCCGCGUGAGUGAUGAAGGUCUUCGGAUCGUAAAACUCUGUUAUUAGGGAAGAACAAAUGUGUAAGUAACUAUGCACGUCUUGACGGUACCUAAUCAGAAAGCCACGGCUAACUACGUG